rnacentral:rRNA from 1 species
UACAGAGGGUGCAAACGUUGCUCGGAAUUACUGGGCGUAAAGCGCGCGUAGGUGGUUUUGUAAGUCGGGUGUGAAAGCCCAGGGCUCAACCCUGGAAGUGCACACGAUACUGCGAAGCUUGAGUACUGAAGAGGAGAGCGGAAUUCCCGGUGUAGAGGUGAAAUUCGUAGAUAUCGGGAGGAACACCAGUGGCGAAGGCGGCUCACUGGCCCGAUACUGACGCUGAGGUGCGAAAGCGUGGGGAGCAAACAGG